UAACGGGCCGGCCCUGCGCGGGGAGCCGCGGAGCCCAGGUUUGCCUCCUGCCGUCGUCUCGCAGGCUGCGAUUUCUCCCGAGGAGGGCCGGAGGUGACGGCAGGGCCGGCGCGGGGACACGUCGGUGGCGGCGGGGAGCGGGGCCGGGGUGGCCGCAGGGGGCACGGGGCCGGGGGCGCGCUGGGCCGGGGCUGUGCCCCCCGCGCAGGGGGUGCCGUGGGGGGGGGGCAGUCGCUGUUCCCCUCGGCAGCCUUGGGCGCCGCGUUUCGGCCCCGUUUUCAAGCCCUCAGGACGAGAAAUUUACUUUCAGAUAAGAUCCAAGGCUGUGCCGGGAGCCGCCCGUCCGGGCCCGCUCUGCUGCUGGAGAAAAGAGGCGGCGGGGGGCGCAGGGUGCCGGCAGGGUGCCCCCACCCCUCGGGCGUCCCCGGAUCUGCGGCAGCCGCAGGUGAGGGCCCCGCUGUGCCUCCGCUGCCCCCUGCGGGGCUGCCGCUGCGGGCACCGACGGCGGUUACCGGGGGCAGGCUCAGACGCCCCGGUCCCGGCCCCGCUCCUUCAGCACCGCGAACAGCGGCGGGGGCGCCUCCAGCACCACGGACAGCGGCGAGGCCGGGCCUCCCCCUGCCUCCCUGCCGGCCUCUCCCCACCUGCCCUGCCUCCCUCCCGCCUUGCCUCCCCGCCCGGCCCUGCCCUCCCCUCCCGGCCCUCCCUUCCAGCCUCCCUGCCCGCUGUCCCCGCGCUGCCUCCCUGCCCGCCCGCCCUGCCCCGACGGCGCAGUCCCGGGGAGGGAGGCGGGGCGGCCCGGCGGCCCAUAAAGGCGGCGGCGGCGGCGGCGGAGCGCCGGAGCACCAUGUCCCCGCCGGGCUCCCCGCCGCGGCCCCCGCGCCGCCCCGCCGCCGAGACGCGCAAGGUGAGCGGCGGCCCCCCCGAGGGCCCCGUCGAGGCCGGGCCGCCCUCACCGCCCCUUCUCCCCGCAGACCCUCAAGCCCCUGCUGGAGAAGCGCCGCCGCGCCCGCAUCAACGAGAGCCUCAGCCAGCUCAAGGCGCUCAUCCUGCCGCUCGUCGGCAAGGACGUGAGUGCCGCGGCCCCGGCCCCCCGCN
rnacentral:lncRNA from 1 species